rnacentral:piRNA from 1 species
UGAUUGUAUUAAUCUGAGAAUUG